rnacentral:rRNA from 1 species
GCUCAGAACUUAAAGGAAUUGACGGGGCCCGCACAAGCGUGGAGUAUGUGGUUUAAUUCGAUGCAACGCGAAGAACCUUACCUGGUCUUGACAUCCCGGAGACCCUUAGGAAACUAGGGGGUGCUUCCAUCUGGAAGAAUCUGGAGACAGGUGCUGCAUGGCUGUCGUCAGCUCGUGUCGUGAGAUGUUGGGUUAAGUCCCGCAACGAGCGCAACCCUUGCCUUUAGUUGCCAGCAGUUCGGCUGGGCACUCUAAAGGGACUGCCGGUGUUAAACCGGAGGAAGGUGGGGAUGACGUCAAGUCCUCAUGGCCUUUAUGACCAGGGCUACACACGUACUACAAUGGCCGAUACAAAGGGCAGCGACACUGCGAAGUGAAGCCAAUCCCGUAAAAUCGGUCUCAGUCCGGAUUGGAGUCUGCAACUCGACUCCAUGAAGUUGGAAUCGCUAGUAAUCGUGGAUCAGCAUGCCACGGUGAAUACGUUCCCGGGCCUU